rnacentral:ncRNA from 1 species
AAUAACGCUAUGACGGGAAAAAAGGAAUAUAACUUGUGUAUUUGCAGAGAUCCGGGGUUGCUGUGAGCCCGGAAGUACACUAUAUUCUGACAUCAUCUCUGAGUGCCGGACUGAACAGUUUACUUAAUAGGCCGGCCAGGUACUGCUUACCUGUACCUGUUAUCAAUUGAGACCAAUAUAUUGGUCUUGUUGAGUUAGUGUUCGCGAGGAUACUAAAAACCUGGGUGGUACCGUGAAAAGAAGACGCUUUUCUCCCCAAUC